GAUGAAGAACGCAGCGAAAUGCGAUAAGUAAUGUGAAUUGCAGAAUUCAGUGAAUCAUCGAAUCUUUGAACGCACAUUGCGCCCGCCAGUAUUCUGGCGGGCAUGCCUGUCCGAGCGUCAUUUCAACCAUCAAGCCCCGGGCUUGUGUUGGGGACCUGCGUCCGACGCAGGCCCUGAAAACCAGUGGCGGGCUCGCUGUCCACACCGAGCGUAGUAACUAACCUCGCUAUGGAGUGGCGCGGGCGCCUGCCGUAAAACCCCCAAUUUCACAUGGUUGACCUCGGAUCAGGUAGGAAUACCCGCUGAACUUAAGCAUAUCAAUAAGCGGAGGA
rnacentral:misc_RNA from 1 species